AAAGAACUAUGAGGUGUGUAUGUGGGUUUCCAGCAGACCUGAGCAACAUUCCCAAGUACAGUUAGGAUCACUCAGAGAGCAUGAGAGAGACUUGUUGUCCCUCAGGAGGCCGCUGUGGGGGAACGGACUCUGAUUUUAACGAAGAGCCCAGGUAUUUGUGAAAAAGGUCAGGGGAUCACCAAAGUUAGUAGGUGUGUAAUCUUCUGGAGAACAUGACUAUCUCAAACUAAUUUCAUGGCAAUCCAGUAGUUUCUGAGCUUUUAUACGUAGACUGGACCAAAGUGGAGGACUGAACCUAUAGACCUACGGUGCCACAACUACUGUCUUAAAGGACCACACCAGUGUUUUUUUAGGCUUUAAGUUUUCUAUUUCCCUAAUAUCUUCUUCGUAGUUGCAUCACUGAUUUUGUAUUUUGUAUGUAUAAGCAGAUGAACCCAUGUUUAUCUGUAUGACCCUUUUAAUGGUUUCCAUUUCUGGCAUUGUGUACAUUUGGUUUGGUUUUUGCCCCUUAUUGAUAAUCGUUAUUUAUUUUCACUAUACUGUAUAUAUUUUCACGCUAUCUUACUUUGUACUGCAACAAUUUCCUUCGGGAUAAAUAAAAUUCUAUAUUUUCUUAACGAGUCUAAUAAGAACGAAAGCUCAUUGCAAGAUCAUUAGAGCAACUGUAAUUAAACUGUUUAUUUAUUCAACAUUGCUAACUCUCUUUGGGUUUUGUUCAUUGUGUCUAUAAAAUCAUGCAGUCAUUAAAAUACGUAUGCACUCCCAGUGUGCUUUAAUGUGCUUAUGUUUCAGUUUUUACCAGUUAAAUAAAUCCCUUUAAAUUAAUCAUUUAGUCUUUUAUGCCUCUCU